GAUAAACGCUGGCGGCGUGCAUAAAACAUGCAAGUCGGACGGAUGGCUUCGGCCAUCAGUGGCGGACGGCUGAGUAACACGUAAGUGACCUGCCCUUUAGUGGGGAAUAACUGCUCGAAAGAGUGGCUAAUACCGCAUGAGCUCGCCUCUUCGAUUGAGGCGAGGAAAGCAGCGAUGCGCUAGAGGAUGGGCUUGCGGCCGAUUAGCUAGUUGGUGGGGUAAGGGCCUACCAAGGCGAUGAUCGGUAGCUGGUCUGAGAGGAUGAUCAGCCAGACUGGGACUGCGACACGGCCCAGACUCCUACGGGAGGCAGCAGUUAGGAAUUUUGCGCAAUGGCCGAAAGGCUGACGCAGCAACGCCGCGUGGAGGACGAAGGCCCUCGGGUCGUAAACUCCUUUUGCACGGGAAGAUGGUGACGGUACCGUGCGAAUAAGCCCCGGCUAACUACGUGCCAGCAGCCGCCGUAAAAC
rnacentral:rRNA from 1 species